rnacentral:rRNA from 1 species
AACAUUGCUCAAUGGUGGAAAUCGUGACGCAGCAACGCCGUGAGAGGUCAUAUGGCCUUCUGUUCGUAAAACUCUGUCAUUGGAGAAGGAAAAAAUGACGGUACCCAAUGAGGAUGCCCCGGCUAACUACGUGCCAGCUGCCGCGGCAAUACGUAGGGGGCAAGCGCUGUGCGGAAUUACUGGGCGUAAAGGGUGCGUAGGCGGCCAAUUAAGUCAGAUGUGAAAUACCACGGCUCAACUGUGGGGGUGCAUUUGAAACUGGUAGGCUUGAGUGCAGGAGAGGAAAGUGGAAUUCCUAGUGUAGCGGUGAAAUGCGUAGAGAUUAGGAGGAACACCAGUGGCGAAGGCGACUUUCUGGACUGUAACUGACGCUGAGGCACGAAAGCGUGGGGAGCGAACAGG